AAAACUUUCAACAAUGGAUCUCUUGGUUCUGGCAUCGAUGAAGAACGCAGCGAAAUGCGAUAAGUAGUGUGAAUUGCAGAAUUCAGUGAAUCAUCGAAUCUUUGAACGCACAUUGCGCCCCUCGGUAUUCCGUGGGGCAUGCCUGUUCGAGCGUCAUU
rnacentral:rRNA from 3 species